CAAAAAGAAGAAGAAAAAGAAGAAGAAGAAGAAGAAGAAGAAGAACGUAUCAAAUUAAUAACCCCCCCUUUGUAUGAAGAAAAAGUUAAAUUUUACAUUUUUGAUCGUCUUUUUUAUUUUACUCCCUCCCUCCAGUUUCUAGACUAUUAUUAUAAGAGAGAGAGAGAAGGUG
rnacentral:ribozyme from 13 species